rnacentral:rRNA from 1 species
GACGAACGCUGGCGGCGUGCUUAACACAUGCAAGUCGAACGGUAAGGCCCUGCUUUUGUGGGGUCCACGAGUGGCGAACGGGUGAGUAACACGUGGGUAACCUGCCCUUUACUUCGGGAUAAAACUAGGAAACUGGGGCUAAUACCGGAUAGGAGCACCUGAUGCACGGGGGUGGAUGGUAAAUUUCGGCGGUGUGGGAUGGACUGGCGGCUUAUCAGCUUGUUGGGGGGGUAGUGGGCUAACAAGGCUCCGACGGGAAGCCGGCCUGAGAGGGUGAGCGGCCACAUUGGGACUGAGACACCGCCCAGACUCCUACGGGAGGCAGCAGUGGGGAAUAUUGCACAAUGGGCGGAAGCCUGGUGCAGCGACGCCGCGUGCGGGAUGACGGCCUUCGGGUUGUAAACUGCUUUCGCCUGCGACGAAGAGUGAGUGACGGUAACUGGUAAAGAAGCACCGGCUAACUACGUG